rnacentral:rRNA from 1 species
UACAGAGGUCUCAAGCGUUGUUCGGAUUUAUUGGCGUAAAGGGCGCGUAGGCGGCGGGGUAAGUCGGGUGUGAAAUCUCAGGGCUCAACCCUGAAACUGCACUUGAUACUGCUCUGCUUGAGGACUGGAGAGGAGACUGGAAUUCACGGUGUAGCAGUGAAAUGCGUAGAUAUCGUGAGGAAGACCAGUGGCGAAGGCGGGUCUCUGGACAGUUCCGUGACGCUG